rnacentral:sRNA from 1 species
AUGUGCCAUGCGUGCACUGCGGUUCUGAGUGCGCCGUCCGCACCCACCUGACGAUAGCUACGUUUUGUUAGCC